AGCUUCGUGCAAGUGGCAGUAUCGUAGCCAAUGAGGUUUAUCCGAGGCGCGAUUAUUGCUAAUUGAAAAUUCUUUGUAAACAUGUUUAAUGGCUGAAUAAUGUUCUCAUGAAUAUUUUGACAUUCAUUUAAUCAUUACCCUGUUUUUGGA
rfam:Pteropus alecto contig111061, whole genome shotgun sequence.